AGGCAAAAUGGGAGUCCUUGAAAGUAAUCGGUGCAAAGGAGAACAGUGGAUCAGUUCUUGCAUGCCUGUAUAUUAAAUAGAUGUGCUGCAAGACUGUGAUCCUGGAUCAUCAUUUCUAUACCAAAGCAACCAAAGCAACCUGAAGAGUGAGAAGGGUAACUGCAGGGAAGAGAGGAAGAAAGAAACACUUGAGAAAGAAAAAUAACCAAAACAAACCAGAAGCAAGAAAGCCUUGCCUUGUGAUCUGUGCUACCUGAACAUAGUAUAUCAUGCUGAAUUGCUUUUAAAAAUCUUCUUGACAUAAAGUUGGAGACAAAACACUAUCCUGGCUACAGGUAAAGACCAGUGGAAGGAAGUGCCAAGAAUGAUACGGAGAUCUAUGAACAAAGGAUUGUACCUUUGCUGACUGUUGUGCAUGAUACAGAAGUCCUGGAAAAAAUACUUGAUGGCUAGAGAAGGAGGGGAAACAUGGCCCUGUGAAAAAAUGAAGAGUACCAACCUGUGACUGGUAUCAUACAUGGAAUGAAGAAAUUGCAAGUUGCUUAAAAGGAACAUUUUGGAAGAGUGAACUGAAUGAAAAAGGCUAAAUGAUUAAUUUUGCUUUCGACAUCUGAUGUGAAAGUCUGCUUGGAAACCCCCCUGCGUAGAAUGACAGCACGAGAAGAACAAGAUGUGCCUGGUUUGUGUCAGGAGGAACAUGCCGUGCUGCUUCCACUCCCACCGCUCUCCUCAGCCUCCCACAGCCCCAGCCACCCAGUCAUUAACAGGAGAGUCAUUAAACUUUUUAGCAUAUUCAGCAGGCUGAGAUCUCACUGACAUCUGUUUCCUUCUCAUCCAUGCCAACAAAGACCAGCAGGAGGACUUGUACUAGAAGAUGGUCCUUGAAGUCCAGCUAAAAUCAUGUCUUUC